rnacentral:rRNA from 1 species
GACGAACGCUGGCGGCGUGCCUAAUACAUGCAAGUCGAACGAACCGCGACUAGGUGCUUGCACUUGGUCAAGGUGAGUGGCGAACGGGUGAGUAACACGUGGGUAACCUACCUCAUAGUGGGGGAUAACAGUCGGAAACGACUGCUAAUACCGCAUAGGACAUAGGAUCACAUGAUUCUGUGAGGAAAGGUGGCGCAAGCUAUCGCUAAGAGAUGGACCCGCGGUGCAUUAGCUAGUUGGUAGGGUAAAGGCCUACCAAGGCGAUGAUGCAUAGCCGACCUGAGAGGGUGAUCGGCCACAUUGGGACUGAGACACGGCCCAAACUCCUACGGGGGGCAGCAGUAGGGAAUCUUCCGCAAUGGACGCAAGUCUGACGGAGCAACGCCGCGUGAGUGAAGAAGGUCUUCGGAUCGUAAAGCUCUGUUGUUAGAGAAGAACAGCGCAUAGAGUAACUGUUAUGCGUGUGACGGUAUCUAACCAGAAAGCCACGGCUAACUACGUG